AUACAAAUAUAUAUACACCAGCCAUUUCCAUAUAGAUGCCGCUGACAAUUUUUUCUUUUGACAGUUAUAUGCUGUCACUUCAAGCUUGCUUCAGAAAAAAGUACGCGUAAUAUUGUUUUAAUUCGUUUGUUUGGAGUCAAUUUCAAUAUGGAGCCCACCAAAGAACAUUUGCUAUAUAUUUUACAUUAUUAUUAUUUCCUCAAAAAAUGCUGCCCAAGUUCCUAAAAAGAAUCAUUAUUUUUAUGGGGAUAAGACCCAUAAGGUAUCGAAGUUGGCUUGUCAAACUUCGUUCGGGAGAUUUUUCGCUCAAAAAUAUUUCAUAUUCAGGUCGGCCAAGAGAAGUUGAUGAUGACGAUAUCAAGGCUUUGAUCGAAUCGAAUCGCAGUGUGACUGACCGUGAAGUUGGAGAGAUGUUAAGUUUACCAAAAUCAACAGUUCAAAAUCAUUGACGACUUCUUGGACUGCCAAAAAAAACGUAAUAUUUGGGUACCACAUGAAAUGAAAGAAAUUCAUUAAACAAACCGCUUCAACGCUGUGACUAUGAUCCGUUUUUGAAGCAAAUUUACAAUAACGUCAAUCAAAAACGAUCAUGGUCCACAAGCCACUUCAAAAACUAAUAUUCAUCAAAAGAAAAUUAUGCUGUCUGUGUGGUGGGAUUGGAACGGUGUGAUAUAUUUUGAGGUGCUUCCUAGAAACCAAAUAAUUAAUUUGGAAGUCUACUGCGAACAACUGGAAAAAUUUAAAACAUUAAUCAAUGAAAAGCGGCCAGAAUUGGUCAAUCGUAAAGGUGCCAUAUUCUAACAGGACAGUGCUAGAAUGCACACAUCUUUGUUCACUCGCUAAACACUGAGAGAGCUUGGCUUGACCUUUCACCGUCAGACUACCGUUUGCUUGUUUUUUUUUUAGCAGAACGCAAUAAAUGAUAAAGGCCAGAAGUUCUAUGAGCGUGGAACAAUGAAUGAUGAUGGAAAGAGGGCAAAAGGUCAUCUUACAAAAUGGAGCAGCCAAAGAAAGCCGUUCAGCACUGCUGGUUGAUUGUGCAAAUAUUGUAAUAUUCCUUUUUUGGACUUUAGAACAAGAAAGGUGAAUAGUUCCAGCAACUGAAUAUUAAAA